rfam:Tncultured Acidilobus sp. JCHS scf1118686607495, whole genome shotgun sequence.
GCGGGGGUGCCCGAGCCCGGCCAAAGGGGUCGGGCUUAGAACCCGAUGGCGUAGGCCUGCGUGGGUUCGAAUCCCACCCCCCGCA